rnacentral:rRNA from 1 species
UACGUAGGUGGCAAGCGUUGUCCGGAUUUACUGGGCGUAAAGGAUGCGUAGGCGGAUACUUAAGUCAGAUGUGAAAUUCCCGGGCUUAACUUGGGGGCUGCAUUUGAAACUGGGUAUCUAGAGUGCGGGAGAGGAAAGUGGAAUUCCUAGUGUAGCGGUGAAAUGCGUAGAGAUUAGGAAGAACACCAGUGGCGAAGGCGACUUUCUGGACCGUAACUGACGCUGAGGCAUGAAAGCGUGGGGAGCAAACAGG